rnacentral:rRNA from 1 species
CCUACGGGAGGCAGCAGUGAGGAAUAUUGGUCAAUGGGCGUAAGCCUGAACCAGCCAAGUCGCGUGAGGGAUGAAGGUUCUAUGGAUUGUAAACCUCUUUUAUAAGGGAAUAAAGUGUGGGACGCGUCCUAUUUCGUAUGUACCUUAUGAAAAAGGAUCGGCUAACUCCGUGCCAGCAGCCGCGGUAAUACGGAGGAUCCGAGCGUUAUCCGGAUUUAUUGGGUUUAAAGGGUGCGUAGGCGGACGUUGAAGUCAGCGGUUAAAAUCGGGGGCUCAACCUUUGAACUGCCGUUGACACUGGGGGGCUUGAGUAGGUGUGAGGCAGGCGGAAUGCGUGGUGUAGCGGUGAAAUGCAUAGAUAUCACGCAGAACCCCGAUUGCGAAGGCAGCGUGCCAGGCCAUGACUGACGCUGAUGCACGAAAGCGUGGGGAUCGAACAGGAUUAGAUACCCGAGUAGUC